rnacentral:rRNA from 1 species
CAGCCGCCGCGGUAAUACGAAGGGUGCAAGCGUUACUCGGAAUUACUGGGCGUAAAGCGUGCGUAGGUGGUGGUUUAAGUCCGUUGUGAAAGCCCUGGGCUCAACCUGGGAAUUGCAGUGGAUACUGGGUAACUGGAGUGCAGUAGAGGGUAGUGGAAUUUCCGGUGUAGCGGUGAAAUGCGUAGAUAUCGGAAGGAACACCAGUGGCGAAGGCGGCUACCUGGACUGAGACUGACACUGAAGCGCGAGAGCGUGGGGAGCAAACAGGAUUAGAUACCCCUGUAGUCCCUGUCUCUUAUAC